UAGACAUGGCAAUAGCUAUAGAUGUUGCUAUAGCUAUAGCCGCAGCAGCUUUCAGUGUCGACGUCAGUUUGCCGUGGCAAGCCAAAGCUUCAGGUCGUCGUGUCCGUCUGCCAUUUCGCGCUCGUCACACAGCCAACCGAUUGGCAAUCGCAGUUUUGUGCUAACUUCGUGCAGGUCGCUGACGCGCGCGCUCAGUUCUUGUGCGAACGGCAUCAGGAUAACACGCAUUGUCUAUUCCACACGGCCGACGACAAACGGGCGGCCAUUUCGUAAGACGUCGCAACCGUCGCAUUGUGUAAUAAUUUGCCUCGCAAUGAUAAAAAUUAAAUUUAAUGUUCUAACAAAGUCCGGAACUCUAUAGCUUUUAUCACGACUCGUGCGGACCCUAUUUAAAUAACAACGUGAAAAAGAAAAAUGUAUACAAAAUAGCAGCGAGAGUCAAUUAAAAAUGAAACAAUAAAAGCG